GGGGUUAUAGCUCAGUGGUAGAGCAUUUGAUUGCAGAUCAAAAGGUCUUCAGUUCAAAUCUAGGUGCCCCCU